GGCUCAGAUUGAACGCUGGCGGCAUGCCUUACACAUGCAAGUCGAACGGCAGCGGGGGAAAGCUUGCUUUCCUGCCGGCGAGUGGCGAACGGGUGAGUAAUACAUCGGAACGUGCCCUGUAGUGGGGGAUAACUAGUCGAAAGAUUAGCUAAUACCGCAUACGACCUGAGGGUGAAAGUGGGGGACCGCAAGGCCUCAUGCUAUAGGAGCGGCCGAUGUCUGAUUAGCUAGUUGGUGGGGUAAAGGCCUACCAAGGCGACGAUCAGUAGCUGGUCUGAGAGGACGAUCAGCCACACUGGGACUGAGACACGGCCCAGACUCCUACGGGAGGCAGCAGUGGGGAAUUUUGGACAAUGGGCGAAAGCCUGAUCCAGCAAUGCCGCGUGUGUGAAGAAGGCCUUCGGGUUGUAAAGCACUUUUGUCCGGAAAGAAAUGGCUCUGGUUAAUACCCGGAGUUGAUGACGGUACC
rnacentral:rRNA from 1 species